UUGAUAAUGCAGGGAUCUUGCACAUAAUAUACCAAUCAAAUUGGAUGUUGCUAAUGCAGUAAAGAUAAAAUUAGGAGUUGCGAGUUGGAGUUUUGGUAAAGGCUUCAAGGUCAGCAUGGAGUUUACCAUUGCAAAUGGUGUUGCUCUGCUCAGUUUAUUCCAGUGUUUGCAGGUAAAUGCAACUAGCAAAGCAACAUGAAGAAAAAGUAUUGAUGUGGAAAAUGAUGUAGACUCAAAAAUGCUGCGUGGAAUGAAUCUCCAGUUUACUGUCCACUUAUAAUCGAAUGCUCUGCCAAAAUCAAAGGCUUGAGUCCAAUACGACCAAAAAUAGGCAAGGAAGGGAAUAGAAAAUAAAAUUUGUACAAUUAUAAUAACAAAAAUAUGCAUCCAGGUCUUUUUGGGCCCCAAGAUUUGGAGCAAAAGAACUAAAUAAGCUGGGACAUAAAGCAAGGAGGACAUCUUGACAGAACAAGCGACACUUAGUAGAAUUGAAGCUCUAACCCACUUUUUUUUGCAUGAAGACAAAAUAAAAAGGGAAGAGAAUAA